rnacentral:lncRNA from 11 species
CUGAAAUGUGCUGGGAUCCUGAAGCGUGAGUCACUGCUGUGGCUAGAACGUGACUCACUCCUGCCACUUUUUAGGUUUUCUUAUGCAAGAAAUACUCAGAGGUCAUUUGCCAUUCACUGCUUCUCGUGCAAGAGUAUAUGUGUGCACAUCUGCUCUGAGAGGAAGAAACUACAGAUAUGGGCGACAUCCACUGCCAGGUGGUGCAGUACAAUGCAUAACUAUCCUGGCCUUCUGAUGUUCUGGCCAGCAUCUUCCAUCAGCAUCACCUGUAAGCCACUGUCACUGAAAAGUCCAUUGAAGAGGAAAAGUCAGAAUCUCUGCCUGGUGCCUUUGGAUUGCUAGCCCUAGGAUCUCUCCAUUUGGAAGUGUACCUCCUUCACUUCCAGAGAUGCUUCAAUGCACUAUUUGGAUUCCUUGCAACAGCAAUAAGUGUAGUUUCAUUUAAACGCUAUUAUCAUUUUCCCAUAAGCAUAAUUUGUCAUCAUAAUUUUAUGGGAUGUCAAUAUAGAACCUGACAACUUAUUAAAUACUAAAUACUAGAAACUAAAAAUGGUGGUGACUCUCUGCGACCAAAUCUACAAUAUCCACCUUAUGUUGCAAGGUCUUUUACAUUUCUGUUGUUUGAACUGUGCUGCAUGCAAUAGUUGUGAUUAAUCCUCUGUCACUCCACUUUUUUUUUCAACUGCUUUUAAAAUGCC